ACUCAACGUUAAUUCUUUAAAAAGGGUGAGUUUAAGUUGUAAAAGCAUGCUACUAGUACUGAAUUUAUUUCGGUACUUGGGUAGACCCUUGAUCAGCUUGUUAACCCUAAACUUGUUUUUAAGGAGUUU
rnacentral:sRNA from 1 species